rnacentral:rRNA from 1 species
AACGAACGCUGGCGGCAUGCCUAACACAUGCUAGUCGAACGAGACCUUCGGGUCUAGUGGCGCACGGGUGCGUAACGCGUGGGAACCUGCCCUUAGGUUCGGAAUAACUCCCCGAAAGGGGUGCUAAUACCGGAUAAUGUCUUCGGACCAAAGAUUUAUCGCCUUUGGAUGGGCCCGCGUUGGAUUAGCUAGUUGGUAGGGUAAAAGCCUACCAAGGCGACGAUCCAUAGCUGGUCUGAGAGGAUGAUCAGCCACACUGGGACUGAGACACGGCCCAGACUCCUACGGGAGGCAGCAGUGGGGAAUAUUGGACAAUGGGCGAAAGCCUGAUCCAGCAAUGCCGCGUGAGUGAUGAAGGCCUUAGGGUUGUAAAGCUCUUUUAACCGGGAUGAUAAUGACAGUACCGGGAGAAUAAGCUCCGGCUAACUCCGUG